CCUACGGGAGGCAGCAGUGAGGAAUAUUGGUCAAUGGACGAGAGUCUGAACCAGCCAAGUAGCGUGAAGGAUGACUGCCCUAUGGGUUGUAAACUUCUUUUAUAAAGGAAUAAAACGAGGCACGUCUGCCUUUUUGCAUGUACUUUAUGAAUAAGGAUCGGCUAACUCCGUGCCAGCAGCCGCGGUCAUGCUGAGGAACCGAGCGUUAUCCGGAUUGAUUGGGUUUAAAGGGAGCGAAGAUGGGUUGUUAAGUCAGUUGUGAACGUUUGCGGCUAAACAGUAAAAUUGCAAUUGAUACUGGCAGUCUUGAGUACAGUUGAGGUAGGCGGAAUUCGUGGUGUAGCGGUGAAAUGCUUAGAUAUCACGAAGAACCCCGAUUGCGAAGGCAGCUUACUAAACUGUGACUGACAUUGAUGCUCGAAAGUGUGGGUAGCAAACAGGAUUAGAUACCCUAGUAGUC
rnacentral:rRNA from 1 species